UUAGGACAGAUAAAACAAGUUUUUUUUGUUGUUGUCUAGACGAUAUUUUCAUGUGAAUAACACAACUGUGACAGCCACUGCACAACACACAAAUAACAAACGACAACUAUGUCACUUCCAUCUUGUGACUUCACCGGUUUUAAUAUAUGAAGCCACAGGAAAUAUCAGCAGCAGAAAACGCCACACUGAAUCAAGCAAACACACACAGCAGGUCUCACAUUCCAGAAUUUUGAGAGUGAGUUAAGGAACUGCAAAGAAAUGAACAAUAAGUAUGAUACUACUUUUUAUACUGACUGGUUUCGUUACUUCUUGUUCUCCAUCUGGACUUUUCUGAUUGCAAUGAUUUGGAUUGUAACAUACCUGGAAAUGAAGCUGAAGUGGAGAAUCAGAAAUUUCUAUCUCUCUCAAAAUGCCGCGGAUACAAACAUCAUUUGGGAGAAUCCAUAGGCAUUAAACAACCUAGAAACUUCACCACAAUGAUAUGACAUGUAAUGAAAUUCUUGUUCCUUUGAAUCUCUUUUUGUUUGAAUACUUAGUUUGAUUAUUUUUUUCUGUCUAUUGAAUACAUUAUUGUAUUUUCCCUUAUUUUGUCUGCUG